rnacentral:rRNA from 1 species
AUUGAACGCUGGCGGCAGGCCUAACACAUGCAAGUCGAGCGGGGUUUUCGGACCUAGCGGCGGACGGGUGAGUAAUGCGUAGGAAGCUGCCCGAUAGAGGGGGAUACCAGUUGGAAACGACUGUUAAUACCGCAUAAUGUCUACGGACCAAAGUGUGGGACCUUCGGGCCACAUGCUAUCGGAUGCGCCUACGUGGGAUUAGCUAGUUGGUGAGGUAAUGGCUCACAAAGGCGACGAUCUCUAGCUGGUUUGAGAGGAUGAUCAGCCACACUGGAACUGAGACACGGUCCAGACUCCUACGGGAGGCAGCAGUGGAGAAUAUUGGACAAUGGGCGCAAGCCUGAUCCAGCCAUGCCGCGUGUGUGAAGAAGGCCUUCGGGUUGUAAAGCACUUUCAGCGAGGAGGAAGGGUGGUGUGUUAAUAGCACAUCAUUUUGACGUUACUCGCAGAAGAAGCACCGGCUAACUCUGUGCCAGCCGCCGCGGUAAUAC